rnacentral:hammerhead_ribozyme from 1 species
AUCCAGCUGAUGAGUCACACAUAGAACGAAAUGCGCUUCCUGGAC